UACAGAGGGUGCGAGCGUUAAUCGGAAUUACUGGGCGUAAAGCGCGCGUAGGCGGCCAACUAAGUCCGACGUGAAAUCCCCAGGCUUAACCUGGGAACUGCGUCGGAUACUGGAUGGCUUGAAUUCGGGAGAGGGAUGCAGAAUUCCGGGUGUAGCGGUGAAAUGCGUAGAUAUCUGGAGGAACACCGGUGGCGAAGGCGGCCUUCUGGACGGUGACUGACGCUGAGGCGCGAAAGCGUGGGGAGCAAACGGG
rnacentral:rRNA from 1 species